AAACACUGGUUCUUGUACAAUCAACGAAGUUAAGCAGCAUCGAGCUUGAUCAGUACUAAGAUGGGUGACCACUUGAGAAUACCAGGUGCUGUAAG